UACGGAGGGGGCAAGCGUUGUUCGGAGUCACUGGGCGUAAAGAGCGCGCAGGCGGUCGUUCAAGUCGCGUGUGAAAGCCCCCGGCUCAACUGGGGAGGGUCACGCGAUACUGAUCGACUGGAAGGCAGGAGAGGGUAGUGGAAUUCCCGGUGUAGUGGUGAAAUGCGUAGAUAUCGGGAGGAACACCAGUGGCGAAGGCGACUACCUGGCCUGUUCUUGACGCUGAGGCGCGAAAGCUAGGGGAGCAAACGGG
rnacentral:rRNA from 1 species